GUCGCUUUAGCUCACUUGGGAGAGCGCCAGACUGAAGUUUGCUCAGUCAUUGAAAAUCUGGAGGUACUGUGUUCGAUCCACAGAAGCGACA